rnacentral:ncRNA from 1 species
GGCCAAGUUUUUAAGGGCGCACGGUGGAUGCCUUGGCACCAGGAACCGAUGAAGGACGUGGGAGGCCACGAUAGUCCCCGGGGAGUCGUCAACCAGGCUUUGAUCCGGGGGUUUCCAAUGGGGAAACCCGCAGUCGUCAUGGGCUGUCACCCGCUGCUGAACACAUAGGCAGUGUGGAGGGAACGCGGGGAAUGAAACAUCUCAGUACCCGAGGAAGAGAAAACACCGUGAUUCCGGGAGUAGUGGCGAGCGAAACCGG